GCCCUUGACCCAUACUUUCUCUCCCUCGAUCCAAUCUCGCCUCCACCGCCGCCGCCUCUAACCUCCUCGGCCAUGCCAGCGACGGGCCUCCGAAUCUCAGGCGCCUCUCCUCUGUGUCCCCUCCUCCUAGCAGCCGGGAAGCACCCCACGUGAGGGAUGCACGGGAGCAUAUGUGCCUGGUGGCCGGCUGCCAUGCUUUCGGUCGCUCCCGUGUCCGCGCCCACCAUGGCGAGCAGCCGAGGGCAUAACAAGUGAGCCAAGACGAGGAUACGCGGCGAUGCUCCGGGCAUGGACAAUGGGGACGACCAGGGCAGCGCGACGGUGGCGCUGAGUGUCGGCCGUGCCCGGCGGGUGCCAUCACGCAUUGCAGCAUCGAUGCUUGUACACAUCCCGUCCCUAAGCUCUAUCCCUGCGCGCUAAGUCAUCCGCAACAGGUGUGGAAUCAUGCUCGGGAACGAGGUGUCCCAAGUUUGUCCUUCGGCGACCAGGUGAUCUUUCUGCAAUUUUUUGUGGCCUCCGACCGUGAGGAUGAAGAGUACCUCUGCACACUUGAGCUCGGCCAGAGAACCUCAACGGAGGAGAUACGUUUCUAUCCAUUCUUCUUGAUUCCUCCCUUCUCGCUUGUAAAGUUUAUCCACUCACAUCUCUAUUUUGUCUUUCUCAGAUCAACCCACCAUAGUUAGCAAGGAGAGGUUGAGCAAGCAACCUCCAUUAAUGGCCAGCGGAGCAAGAGCACAAGAAGCAUCAAGCGGCGGAUGGGACCACCAGGCCACUCUCAUCUGGCGUGCGCGCAUGGGUGCCAGCAUCUGCUGGCAUCACGAUUUUAGGCUGCCUCUCUGAUGAGCAGCGGUGGCGUCGAUGCCACCAGCUUGCGGUGCUUGGCUUCCUCGAGUCAAGGUAUGGAGCAAUAUUGUCGGCGGCGCCUUCACGUGUCUUUGCUGGAAACCUAGCCAUCGACAUCAUCAGCUGGCUAUGGCGGGCAGAGGCAGUGGCGGGAGCAACGGUGUCGGACGCCAUUGUCAGUGAUGAAGAUUAAUUAAGCUCAUGACCUGCUUCUAUCGGGCGCCUUAAUUAAUGUUUUGUAGCUGAAUGCCUGUAGAUUGGUAUCUUUUUAAAUUGAAUGCUUGCUUACUGUGACUGCAAGGACAUGAUGGAAUUUAUUUCAUAAAGGGAAGUAAGUUGCUCUGUUUUUUCAGAUUUUUUCUUGAGCAUUGGAACAAGCUACAUCUUGAAAAGUUAAAGAUACAAAAUGUACUAAAGUGGGUAUCGUGCACAAUCAGUACGGAGCUGCUGUUAUGCAUACAUCAGAGUUUCAUUAAUAUAUCUGGGCAUGGCGCCUUAUAUGAACUUCUCUUCAAAAGUUCUUUGAGAAUUUGCUCAACGAGUGGAAGCAGGAGCUGGAUGAUAUGACGGAGCUGGAGAAGCAGAAGGCAAACAGGGAAUCCAUGUUUGCAACGCUCAAGUAGUGUCACCGUAUUUCAGUUUCAUGUUCAAGUUGUUUAGGAAGAAGGUGAGAAUCUUUCAGUUUUUUUCAGCCAGUCUAUGUGUGUUAUUAUUCUCAUAUAAUUUCAGAUUCAGAAAAGGACAAAUAAAAGAAAGAAUGGGUAAAUUUGGAUUUGAAAUGAUUCUUCUGAUGUCAUGUUAACCAUUGGGAGCUGCAAGAAGACAUGAUGAUAUCCUUCUAAAUUGAAGUUGAAUGUUUGUUACAGAACCCGUGAAAUCAAAAUUUAAUUGCUAGGAAUUGAUAUAAUUGAGAUAACAAACUCAGAUGGUCAGUUGUGUGCAAAGUUUUAGCUAUGUGUGCGGAGUACUGCAGUUCAGCUUUGGGAAGUUAUUUUGGAAGAGCAUGAUCAUGGACAUGGAUGAAUGGUUCCCUGGAGAAUCUAAGCUAUCUCCCUAUGGUCGCUGUUAACUGACCUCAAUUUGUUUUAUCUGGGGCUGUGCUGGGAAAGAGGGAUAAAUUAUGUAACAAUAGAUUAUCUUAUUAAUAUUAUUAUUCAAAAAGGAAGGUAUCA